AGUUUGAUCCUGGCUCAGGAUGAACGCUAGCGGCAGGCCUAAUACAUGCAAGUCGAACGGGAUUGGAGAGCUUGCUUUCCAUGAGAGUGGCGUACGGGUGCGUAACGCGUAUGCAACCUACCUUCAUCAGGGGGAUAGCCCGAAGAAAUUCGGAUUAACACCGCAUAACAUUAUUGGAUGGCAUCAUUUAAUAAUCAAAUAUUUAUAGGAUGAAGAUGGGCAUGCGUGUCAUUAGCUAGUUGGUGAGGUAACGGCUCACCAAGGCGACGAUGACUAGGGGAUCUGAGAGGAUGACCCCCCACACUGGUACUGAGACACGGACCAGACUCCUACGGGAGGCAGCAGUAAGGAAUAUUGGUCAAUGGAGGCAACUCUGAACCAGCCAUGCCGCGUGCAGGAAGACUGCCUUAUGGGUUGUAAACUGCUUUUAUACGGGAAUACACCUUGAUUCGUGAAUCGAGCUGAAUGUACCGUAAGAAUAAGGAUCGGCUAACUCCGUGCCAGCAGCCGCGGUAAUACGGAGGAUCCAAGCGUUAUCCGGAUUUAUUGGGUUUAAAGGGAGCGUAGGCGGCCUAUUAAGUCAGGGGUGAAAGACGGUGGCUCAACCAUCGCAGUGCCUUUGAUACUGGUAGGCUUGAAUGUAGUUGAGGUAGGCGGAAUGUGACAAGUAGCGGUGAAAUGCAUAGAUAUGUCACAGAACACCGAUUGCGAAGGCAGCUUACUAAGCUAUGAUUGACGCUGAGGCUCGAAAGCGUGGGGAUCAAACAGGAUUAGAUACCCUGGUAGUCCACGCCCUAAACGAUGAUAACUCGAUGUUGGCGAUAUACAGUCAGCGUCCAAGCGAAAGCGUUAAGUUAUCCACCUGGGGAGUACGCCCGCAAGGGUGAAACUCAAAGGAAUUGACGGGGGCCCGCACAAGCGGAGGAGCAUGUGGUUUAAUUCGAUGAUACGCGAGGAACCUUACCCGGGCUUGAAAGUUACUGAAGAAUUUAGAGAUAGAUUCGUCCUUCGGGACAGGAAACUAGGUGCUGCAUGGCUGUCGUCAGCUCGUG
rnacentral:rRNA from 1 species